UAACACAUGCAAGUCGAGCGGAUGAAAGGAGCUUGCUCCUUGAUUCAGCGGCGGACGGGUGAGUAAUGCCUAGGAAUCUGCCUAUUAGUGGGGGACAACGUUUCGAAAGGAACGCUAAUACCGCAUACGUCCUACGGGAGAAAGCAGGGGACCUUCGGGCCUUGCGCUAAUAGAUGAGCCUAGGUCGGAUUAGCUAGUUGGUGAGGUAAUGGCUCACCAAGGCGACGAUCCGUAACUGGUCUGAGAGGAUGAUCAGUCACACUGGAACUGAGACACGGUCCAGACUCCUACGGGAGGCAGCAGUGGGGAAUAUUGGACAAUGGGCGAAAGCCUGAUCCAGCCAUGCCGCGUGUGUGAAGAAGGUCUUCGGAUUGUAAAGCACUUUAAGUUGGGAGGAAGGGUUGUAGAUUAAUACUCUGCAAUUUUGACGUUACCGACAGAAUAAGCACCGGCUAACUCUGUGCCAGCAGCCGCGGUAAUACAGAGGGUGCAAGCGUUAAUCGGAAUUACUGGGCGUAAAGCGCGCGUAGGUGGUUCGUUAAGUUGGAUGUGAAAUCCCCGGGCUCAACCUGGGAACUGCAUUCAAAACUGUCGAGCUAGAGUAUGGUAGAGGGUGGUGGAAUUUCCUGUGUAGCGGUGAAAUGCGUAGAUAUAGGAAGGAACACCAGUGGCGAAGGCGACCACCUGGACUGAUACUGACACU
rnacentral:rRNA from 1 species